CCUACGGGAGGCAGCAGUAGGGAAUCUUUCACAAUGGGCGAAAGCCUGAUGGAGCAACGCCGCGUGCAGGAUGAAGGCCUUCGGGUUGUAAACUGCUUUUAUAAGCGAGAAAUAUGAUGGUAACUUAUGAAUAAGGAUCGGCUAACUACGUGCCAGCAGCCGCUGUCAUACGUAGGAUCCGAGCAUUAUCCGGAGUGACUGGGUGUAAAGAGUUGCGUAGGUGGCAUAAUAAGUAGCUAGUGAAAUCUGGUGGCUCAACCAUUCAGACUAUUAGCUAAACUGUUAAGCUCGAGACCGUGAGGGGUAACUGGAAUUUCUAGUGUAGGAGUGAAAUCCGUAGAUAUUAGAAAGAACACCAAUAGCGUAGGCAGGUUGCUGGGACGGUUCUGACACUAAGGCACGAAAGCGUAGGGAGCAAACGGGAUUAGAUACCCUGGUAGUC
rnacentral:rRNA from 1 species